GCACCAGUUGGUUUUAUUAAGUUUAUUACUGGCAUAUUUCCACUACUUCAGAUUUAUGCUGGUUCGUUCUUUGCAAUUCCUUUGUUCCGGUGGUUCAUCGUGCUUAAGACAAAUGC